UUGUAGGGGUGCCUUUUUAAGGCUGAGAAGAGAAUACUCUAACUCUAAAAACCUGAUCCAGUUAAUACUGGCGUAGGGAAGCAACAAUUU
rnacentral:ncRNA from 1 species